rfam:Glycine soja cultivar W05 scaffold2482_24, whole genome shotgun sequence.
AAAAAAGCAGGGGUUUGUUUUGAUUAUGUGGACUUCCCUCUCGUAAACUUCAGUGAUAUAAUUUUCCAUUGUUAUUGGGUGAACCUCUGUUCUUUGGCUGUGAUUGAAGGUUCAGUAAAUGAUGGAACACGC